UAGCUCUAGAACCUACCUCCUUAUCCAAAACAGAUGGAAAGGCAGACCAGGAAAAGAAACAUUGACGCUCUUCAAAGUUAAUGAAGUCAAUCACAAAUAGAAAUUGCCCUUUAGCAGCAGUUCUCAUUCUGAAAAGCGGACACAGCAAAGGAGAAUACCUUGGUGAGAGCAGUAGCAAAGGGUCACUGGGAUGUCGUCAGUGCCACCCACAAGAUUAAUAACGUGAGCGAGAGAAGUGAUUCAAAUUCCUGAAUGGUUCAGACAGUGUGGAGUAUUUGAAACAUCUGUACAGGGCUUGCAGCUACUGGACCUACAGGAGAAAUGCACUCCUCUAGAGGAAUAGCUGGAAUGCAGGUGGGAUAUCCUACUGAUCUUUCCUCAGGCUUCUGCGUUUCACCUGAUAAACACUGAUAACAUAUUUCCGGUUACAAGAAGAAAAAAAGGAAAUAUGCAUUUAUCUACAAGAUUUUUCAUUUCACUUUCCAAGUGGAAUUUAUUUAACAACCUCAAAAGCAAGUUAAUUGUCCUAAUUUCUAUGUAUCAUUAGUAUAACAUGGGCAAUUUUAAAUUUAUACUAGAUAAUGUGUUUUUUGA